UUAUACAAAGACAUUCCCUGGUGCAGUGUCCUGUCAGCUGGAAAGGAGUGGAAAUGAUUCUUACCUUGGUAAACACAUUAAGCUACACAGGUGGGGAAUCUAGCAAGUUACGUUUUGUUUCCCUCUUGGCAACUUGUGUCAAAGUUACUCUGACCUGAGUCCAUUUCUACUGGGGGAGUCUCAUAACACCUUUGUCAUAAAAGGAGGAGCAAGAUUGCUGCAGAAAGUUUCUCCAAAAUGCCUAAGAGAAGAUUCCUCUGAUGCAGAUAGAUACCUUCAACCCUACACCGGGUUGUUGAAGGGAGAAACGUUUUCUGGCUAGUAAAUCAUACCCCAGCAGCUUUUUGCACAGGGAAGAAGUUGUAUCUAACUGAGGAUGAUCUAAGUAAUUCCUGUUUUAUAUUGGGUACUUUAGGGGGAGGGAGGGUGUCUUUAAAAGACUUGUUUUUUACCUAUAAAUUUAGGUUAUUAUAAAUACAAGAUUUUUGUAUCUUAAAUAAGCCUCAUUCCUAUUUCUUCUCCAUUAACAGUCCAUCCAGAGUGUUAGAAAAAGAAAGAACCCCCAGAGAUAGUCUUUGAGGAGAACUUGGGACAAAAAUCACGGAGUACCUUCCUUUCCCCCAGGAGGACCUCGGUAUCCAUGCUGUUCCUCCUCGCUUCUAGCUAAGGCUGGGCUGUUCCUGCCUGCCCCACGUACCCCAUACAGGGUGGAGCUGCCCCACACUCAUACCCCAGCCCCUCUUCUAAAGGGGGCGGGAGGAAGGAGAGGAGAGCGUUUGGGACAGGUAGUUGGAAAGGAAUGAAGACCAGAACCCCAGAACUGGGCCAUCCCCUGUGGUCGGCUUGUCCAUGUCACAGUAAGAAAUGUGUGUGCUCCGUGAGCUGGUCUCUUGGCAAAGGCCUUGUGUUUUCAUCUAGAUUCUGGUUGAAUUUCUCAAACACAGAAGGUCACCAAGCACGGAUUUCUUAUCCUGUGAUAAGUAGACACUAGCCGUAGACUCUUGGCAAGGCUUCCAGGCACUGAGCUCUGGCUUCUGUUCCUCUCUCAUUCACAUUCCCAGAAGCCUCCACACGCCCUGGGAGCUCCCUGGAAUGGUACCCAACCCCCAUACACACACACACACACACACACACACACACACACACCUCUGUCCCAUGGCAGAGGCACCAUGUUCCAAUCCUCUUUGGGAGAAGGGAGGGUCAUCAUAGCUUUAAUCACAUUCACAUUAGGUCAGAGUUCAGGCACUUAGACAUGAAUACCUAACCCAGUAAGGUGGAAGACACUGAUGAAAGGAAUGUCUUAGGUGAGCAGGGAGAGAAACUGAGCAAAACAAGUCAAGUCAGUUGGCCCUUGGAGGCUUGUCUAGAGCACCAAGUAAUAAAAUAUCAGAUAGUGGGAUGGCCCUCCACUGAAACAUAACAACGACAAUAAUAAUACUUCCAUUUCCAGCCAUAUUUUUCUGCUUCCUAUUUUCCUCAUUAAGUUACAAUUCAUCUUACACCCCCAAAGUCAAUUUAGAAAAUUAUCAUUAACUCUUGAGGGAGAAAGGAUGUGUAAUGCUAUUUUUGGAUCUCCGGAUUUUAUGGGUCAGUAAAGGAAUAAUUAUUAUUUAAAAGGUAUUUAUUUAGAGGAGGCACAUUCGUGUAGAUGUCUAGGAUACCACAGGUUUUUAAAAUACUCCUUGUAUGUUUAUCUAAGUUUGCUGUUGACUGAAUACAAUAGACCCUACUGUAGUUUGUCAAAUACCACGGGUUAUGUCAUUUGUGUGGGAAUAGCUAUACAGUAUAGUGCUCUUAAUCUUGUUCAGAAUAGUGAACUGGUAGCCAAAAAUACACGUAUCACAGAUGUUAGAUAGAAUUUAAAUAACACAGUCAAGUGCUGUAGACGUUUUUCUGCUCAGUUAGUAGACUAAAGAAUAGUACAGCUUAAGCCACCGGGAGCAGCAUGUUUUCCUUUGGAAGCCAGAUCUCAGGACUAGCGAGCAGUGCCAGUUUUAUACUUUGGAUUGAGAACUGUUCUCUGGUUAUUACGAUACAGAUUGAUGUAAAUCCCUGACUUCCUUAGUGCUACCCAAUGGACGUGGGGGUAGGAAUGUGUGAAUAGGAAAGAAGUCUAGUCUUGUUAAGCAGAGGCAGUCCCAAUUUACAAGCUGAUCAUACUGGGAAACUUUCAGAUGAUUAUUUGCAACCUGGAAUGUAUUUCCUGUUAUACAUGGUGGUUAGGCCCCCAGACCAGCUAGAAAAAGUGAUUAAACCCAUAGUUCAGCUGAAAUUGGGUAAUACAAUAAGGUUGUUAAAAGAAACUAACCACUACACAUAUAUUGUUUCUAGGGGUAUUCGUUCAGUGUUGCCAAGAAUAUGUCAUUCCUGUUGUUAGUGGACUCUGGGUCGCCCACCGCAGUGACACAUACCUGCUGGAUGAAUGGUGUAGGGGCACCCCCAUCUGGAGGUGACCAGAGUGGCCUGAAGCAGGGUCUCCAGCAGAGGAGGGGGAGAGUAAGCCCGGGGCCACCAGAGAACCCAGUGUAGGCAGAGUGAGGAGGAGGAUGAGGGGCCUCUUGUGAGUUGUAACCCACAGGGACCUUCCUCAGCUGAUACCUUCCUUUCUCUGGAGGUCACAGGUUUGGCCUGUCUGCUUCCGUUAUAGGACCUUGUGCUCCUAUAGUUCAUCUCCUUCCCUGCCCCCUGCACACACACACACACACACACAGGAUGUUGCUGCAUAGUCUCUCCCACAUGCCAGUCAUUGGAGUCAUCAGACAGCACUUGUAACGGGUUCCAUGCUAGCGAAUCGCAGGUUCCCUGCCCGGCCAUCAGCUGGGGGUGGAAAAGCUUUCUACCACUUCCCUUUUCUAUAUUUGUAUGUUCUGUUGAGAACGGCGAGCCUGGGUGAUGUGAUGGUUAUGGCUUGAGGUGGACAAAGGCCUGUGGUAGGAUUCCCUGGUAUUUCAGAGGACACCACAGGCAGUUACCCCAGAACCCAGAACGGGAGUGUGGACUGAGCCUCUAGGCUAGUGGUUCUCAAAGUGUGGCCUUCAGAGCAGCCGCACCUGGAACUUGUUGGAAUGCAAACUCUCAGGCCCCACCCCAGGCCCAGUGAAACCGGAAGCUGGGGGGUUGGAGGAGCUGAGAAGCCCUCCUGGGGAUCAGUGUAGCACUGAGCCAGUCUGUCUGCCCUUUGUUCUCCCAUUAGUCCUACCCAGAGGAUGGUUCAGAGGACUCCUGGGACAAGAAAUGGGAAGCAGGACUUGGGGGCAGGGACAGGCCCCAGCCCCAGCCUCCUCCCCUCCCACUGGCACGGCUGCUGCAGGUGCUCCGUUGUAUGGCAGCUGCUUGCACGCUUGUAAGACGUUGGGCCGAGGCAUAAUAAGGCCACAUUUUUUAGAGCUGUGAAAAGAGUGAGGAGUUCCUGUGUGUUUGUGUGUUUGUUUGUUUUUAGUGGAAUUGAAAGAACAGGCCCCUUGUAAACGCAGCCUUAGAGGAAUUUCUGAGUGCACAUCAGGAGUAAGUUCUGCAGAAUGUUGAGUCAUUGGGUGGUGAUCAGUCCUGUCCUCUUGGUAAAGUGAAUUCCUUGCCGAAAGGCCUGCACUGAACACGGAGCUGCAAACUGCUUUGAAAAGCACACGGAGCUCAGAGUGUCAGAAUGCUGGGCGGCACCGCGGAGUGGGCUGGGGAGGAGGUCAGUCUGUGAUCAGAUACUUCAUUUUAUGCCUUCGAACCAAAGCCAUUAGUUCCUCUCAGUUUGUCAAUGUAAACAGCUUGAGGCUUAGAAAGGGCACGAGGAUAUAAUUCCUCCACUCCAGUUCGUAGUAAACUUCCAGCUACUUUCAAAACAAAGGAGAUACGGACUCUAGCAUUCAGCAAUGCUAACAAAUGAUUUCCUUUGGGAUAGCAGAUCUGAGAAUCCUUCAGCAACAGAACAUACUUCUUUUAAAAUACAGUUAAUUACAGGUAUUUAUUGAUACAAAGCUUACAGGUACAACUUGUGGGUACGGUGGCUAGCAACUAAAAUAAUAUCACCAUAUCUAAAAGGGAACGUUCUCGAAAAAUAUGUCAAAUUCUCUUUUUGGGUUUUCUCAGAGAAAAAUCUGUGAAAUGGGGCCCAUCUGUGUACAGACAGAAUUUGUGUGUUUAAAAAAGUAUCUAUGCAGCUGAGGCUUGUAGGAAAUGCUUCAUUUGUAUGUAAAUAUACUGUAAAUAAAUAGGAGGCUGUAUAUUUUUGCAAUUAUUGAUUCACACUGAAAUAGAAGUCUCUAUUGUCUGCAUAUCAAGAAUAAAAGUUUUCAUAGAUAUUAGUGGGGUUUGGGGGGAAUUAGAAAAAUUUACAUCCUCCGCCAGGUAACAUAGUUCUCUCAAUGUAAACUUGGAUUCUAAAAAUCUUUAAUUGUUUAGAAAGAAGUGUCUAAGAAAUAGUUGUGUUGAUUUCAUUAAGAUCAAUCAUUUAAAUGAUAUUAAGAUCAAUUAUUUAAAAGCUAGUCCUCUGAGCUACAACUAAGGAAUAUUUAGACCAAGUUAUUGUCUAUAGAAAUAGAUUUACCCAAAAUGACACACUAUUCUUCCUAAUACACUGUAUUUAUAAAAACAGAAGUUUGGGAAGGAGAAUGUUUUUAUUUUUUUCAAAAUUGAAUUGCUACAUUUCCCAUUCUUUGGGAUCUUGGGAAAGGGGAAAGAAUUUGAACAUUAACUAAGAGCACAAAUUUGAAGGAGGGAAAAAAAACACAACACUUUAUCAAGCUUUUGAAAGUCUUGCAUGUUUGCCUUAUAUUUUCAAUGUUGACCCGAACAUAGACUGUCUUAAGUCAUCUUUUCCCCAAACAUGUCACUCGUCAUCAUUGGGAUGUAAUCCACUCUCGAGUCCAGUGUAUUUCAGACUUCAUGUAAGUCCAGUACAUGCAGCACACCACUCUUCAGUCAUGUAAAAACCUUGUAAGUGGAUUUCAGAGCCAUGACUUAAGUGAGUCAUAGGUCACCAAACUGCUAUCCAUGCUUAAUCAAAUAGAGGUCUUUUCCCCCCCCAGGAUGUGGUGUAAAUAAAGAAAUGUAAGAGGUUCUGUUCUAUAAUUGCUCUAUUAACAUAGUUUUUAAACAUUAAAAACAUGAACUAAAAGUA